rnacentral:rRNA from 1 species
AACGAACGCUGGCGGCAUGCCUAACACAUGCAAGUCGAACGAUUGCCUUCGGGGGAUUGUCUCGCACGGGUGCGGAGUGCGGGGGAAUCUGCCCAUAGGUUGGGAAUAACAUCUUGAAACGGCUUCUAAUACCGGAUGAUAUCCCGAGACCAAAGAUGUAUCGCGUGAGGAUGCGGCCGCUUUGGAUUAGUUGGUGGGUGGCGUAAAGGCGUACCAAGCCGACGAUCCAUAGCUGGUCUGAGAGAAUGAGCAGCCACACUGGCACUGGGACACGGCCCAGAAUAUUGCAGAAGGCAGGAGUGCGGAAUAUAGGACAAUGGGGGGAAGCAUGAUCCAGCACUGCCGCGUGAGUGAUGAAGGCCCGAGGGUUGUACAGCUCUUUUACACGGGAAGAUAAUAACGGUACCGGGAGAAUAAGCCCCGGCUAACUCCGUG